GCCACACCUCUCCACAAGCAGAGGGAGCUGGCUUCAGCCUCAGCCAGCACAGAGAGGGGCCCCCAUAGCGCAGUGGCGGGCUGAAGGGCUCCUUGAGCAUGGCCAGAGUGGACGCCAAGGCUGAGGAGGCGCCGAGAGCCAGUGAGGGCUGCUAGCAUGUUGUCACCUCUCAAUACAUAAAACUACUGGAGGGUGGUUCCAAGAUGGCCAAAUAGGAACAGCUCCAGUCUACAGCUCCCAGCAUGAGUGAUGCAGAAGACGAAUGAUUUCUGCAUUUCCAACUCAGUAGAGAGCUGACUUUAGAGGGAUCAAGAAUAGCUUGCUGGAUGGAAGGAGCUCUCCCUCCCAUACUCCAAUUGAAGAGACCACAUGUUGACAUGGUGGAACCACCUGAUAGAAGCACCUGAAUCACCACUGGAAGAAUAGCUGUUCUGGAGAGCCCUUCAAAACCUAAAUUGGACUCUGCAUAAGCAAGAAAUCAAUUUUCAAAUGUAAGCCUUUGAGAUUUCUAGCUUUUUGUUACUGCAGCAUUAGCUAGUCUAUCCUA
rnacentral:lncRNA from 10 species